UUAAUUUCUACAUUCAAUAUUUAUGUAGUUUGCAUGAGGUCUGUGACGUGCACUCAUUUUCAAAGAGUCUUGUUUACGAGACUUCUUUGAAGAGAUGUUUGAUCAAAAACGCGUAUAGCGACAUCAUUAACAAUGGACAGACGAUUUCUAAAGACAAGUUUACCCUAGUUUGUUGAACAAAAUUUCGACCUUUUUCAAGAUGUAUUUACCACUACUGGCAUCAGUCAUGCUGAUAUUUUGUACUUCCAUCGUCGAUUCGGCUGCUGCACGUAAACAUACAAGAGAAAUGUUGGUGUUCAAAAAAAUCAACGGUGACUACCUCGCUCACGUGGGAAUGGUGAAUUUAGAAAAUCCAUGUCCAAUUUCGCCGCCGUGAAUAACGUAAAAUUAUAUGUGAGUUUAUGCAUGAAUUGUCAACAGCAAGAAUAAAGUUGGUCAGUAUAUAAAGACAUAUAGUUCGUGCUACAAUUUUUCAAUAAAACGUUUUAUUGCAAAAUAUUCUCUUCUCGUUGUAUAUUUCAUGUAUAGACGAAUGACUGAGUAGUAAUAAAGGCAAUAAAAGGAGGCAAA